rnacentral:rRNA from 1 species
UACGUAGGGGGCGAGCGUUGUCCGGAUUUAUUGGGCGUAAAAGGCUUGUAGGUGGCCACGCCAAGUCGGAUGUGAAAUCUCCCGGCUCAACUGGGAGGGGUCAUUCGAUACUGGCGGGCUCGAGGCCGGUAGGGGGUAGCGGAAUUCCCGGUGUAGUGGUGGAAUGCGUAGAUAUCGGGAGGAACACCAGUGGCGAAGGCGACUUACUGGACGAUUGUUGACGCUGAGGUGCGAAAGCGUGGGGAGCAAACAGG